AUGAAAGACCAAACCAAAAAACCAAAGAACCUGGAAGGAAAAGAGACAAUAUGCAGGAAGCAAAAAAAAACUCUCUGGGGAAGAAGUAACUGGAGUAUCCCCAGGAGUAACAAGAAAGAUACUACAUUCAUCAAACAGACGCCGAAAGGAAAGAGGGCCAAGGGGAAGAAGGUGGCUCCAAACCCACCCCCCCACCCCCCGUCGUGAAGAAGAAGGCCAAGAAAGUGGUGAAUCCCCUGUUUGAGAAAAGGCCUAAGAAUUUUGGCAUUGCACAGGACAUCCAGCUCAAAAGAAACCUCACCCGCUUUGUGAAAUGGCCCUGCUAUAUCAGGUUGCAGCGGCAGAGAGCCAUCCUCUAUAAGCGGCUGAAAGUGCCUCCUGCAAUUAACCAGUUCACCCAGGCCCUGGACUGCCAAACAGCUACUCAGCUGCUUAAGCUGGCCCACAAGUACAGACUGGAGAUGAAGCAAGAGAAGAAGCAGAGGCUGCUGGUCCGGGCCAAGAAGAAAGCAGCUGGUAAAGGGGACAUCCCCACUAAGAGACCACUUAUCCUUCGAGCAGGAGUUAACGUCGUCACCACCUUGGUGAAGAACAAGAAAGCUCAGCUGGUGGUUAUUGCACAUGACGUGGAUCCCAUUGAGCCGGUUGUCUUCCUGCCUGCCUUGUGUCGUAAAAUGGGAGUCCCUCACCCCAUUAUCAAGGGGAAGGCAAGACUGGGAUGUCUAGUUCACAGGAAGACCUGCACCACUGUCGCCUUCACACAGUUUAACUCGGAAGACAAAGGUGCUUUAGCUAAGCUGGUGGAAGCUAUACGCACCAAAUAUAGUGACAGAUGAUAAGAUCCGCCGUCACUGGGGAGGCAAUGUCUUGGGUCCCAAGUCUGUGGCUUGCAUUGCCAAGCUCGAAAAGGGAAAGGCUAAAGAACUUGCCAAGAAACUGGGUUAAAUGUACACUGUUGAGUUUUUGUACAUAAAAAUAAUUAAA